ACCUUGUUUCAGCCGGCUCCUGAGAAGUAAGAACGUUUCUCUCUACCGACCCUAACUUCCCAGGCCAGCCACCUGAUAAAGCAAGGAAAGCAACAGGAUCAUGUAGCAGGGAAGGAAGGGGCGAAAACAGUGUCAGGAUGCGUAGAAAAUCUCAGCGCUUGUCUCCUCACCAGCGAGUGCAGACUAAGCGCAGGUGAAGGAGGCCUCCUGGGGGACUCGCCUCCACACCGCUCUGAAUCGCACCCAUCCACCCCGAACCGUGACCUGGCUUCUUGCCUCCUGAAGCGGAUCCCUACCUCUUGCCUAGGUAGAGAGACUAAACGGAGAGGGAAAUACAUCAACGGAGAAGCCAUCCUAGGCAGAGUCCUGCACAAGGAAGGGAAAUGAGAUGGAAUGCAUUUUGCUGGGACCGGUUCGAUUGAUACACUUUCAAUGUGAAUGAACAUCAGAAAUGAAAUGGACUAGAUCAGAGCCUAGUAAACUCUGAAAAUUG